rnacentral:rRNA from 1 species
UACGUAGGGGGCAAGCGUUGUUCGGAAUUAUUGGGCGUAAAGCGCGCGCAGGCGGUUUCUUAAGUCUGAUGUGAAAGCCCACGGCUCAACCGUGGAGGGCCAUUGGAAACUGGGGAACUUGAGUGCAGAAGAGAAAGCGGAAUUCCACGUGUAGAGGUGAAAUUCGUAGAUAUUGGGAAGAACACCGGUGGCGAAGGCGGCCAGUCUGGACCAUUUCUGACGCUGAGGCGCGAAAGCGUGGGGAGCAACA